rnacentral:lncRNA from 1 species
GAUCACACUAGCAAAAUCAAGCCUGAAUAUAACUUUUUUCUCUUCAGAUGUGCCAUCAUUAACUCUGGAGGACCUGGAAAAUUAGAAUCUGUUAGAUGUGGGAGAGUGAGAGGAAGAUAUGUGAUUGUCAGCACUCCAGGCCUUGUUCUCCUCUGAACUAAAACAUGCAUUCAUGGGCCAAACCAGAAACGGAUUUGAGUAAUAUGACAACUAAGCUCUCCAUUUCAAAGCUUGGCAGUAUCCCUGGGAAUGGAAUACCUCCAACAUGGCUCUUCAGCACCAGUCUGGACGCAGACCCACGCACCUUCCGUAAUCCCCACAAAUUAGGGGAGCUGUGUACGGCAGAGACCUGACUGAAGGAUAAGGAAAAGCUACCCAGUUUUAUCAAUUGUAUUCUAGUAGAAUACAAUUAUCACAAAAGCGGACGUUUGUUCACUCAUGCUCUAGCUCCGGUGCUGAAAACAGCUGAGAGAACGCUCAGUGAAUAUCAGUUGUAUGGAUAAAAUACGGC